rnacentral:rRNA from 1 species
CAAGUCGAACGCGAAAGGGGCUUCGGCCCUGAGUAGAGUGGCAAACGGGUGAGUAACACGUGGGUGACCUGCCUUCGAGUGGGGGAUAACGUCCCGAAAGGGACGCUAAUACCGCAUGACAUCCUGCCUUUGGAGAGGCGGAGAUCAAAGCCGGGGAUCGCAAGACCUGGCGCUUGAAGAGGGGCCCGCGCCUGAUUAGCUAGUUGGUGGGGUAAUGGCUCACCAAGGCGACGAUCAGUAUCCGGCCUGAGAGGGCGGACGGACACACUGGGACUGAGACACGGCCCAGACUCCUACGGGAGGCAGCAGUGGGGAAUUGUUCGCAAUGGGCGCAAGCCUGACGACGCAACGCCGCGUGGAGGACGAAGAUCUUCGGGUCGUAAACUCCUGUCGAGCGGGAAGAAACCCGCGGGGACGAAUAGUCCCUGCGGCUGACGGUACCGCUAAAGGAAGCCCCGGCUAACUCCGUGCCAGCAGCCGCGGUAAUACGGGGGGGGCAAGCGUUGUUCGGAAUUACUGGGCGUAAAGGGCUCGUAGGCGGCCAACUAAGUCGGAUGUGAAAUCCCCAGGCUCAACCUGGGAACUGCAUCCGAUACUGGAUGGCUUGAAUCCGGGAGAGGGAUGCAGAAUUCCAGGUGUAGCGGUGAAAUGCGUAGAUAUCUGGAGGAAUACCGGUGGCGAAGGCGGCAUCCUGGACCGGCAUUGACGCUGAGGAGCGAAAGCCAGGGGAGCAAACGGGAUUAGAUACCCCGGUAGUCCUGGCCCUAAACGAUGAAUGCUUGGUGUGACGGGUAUCGAUCCCUGUCGUGCC